CAUUCUUCUUAAAUGAAUCGGUCGGGCUUAUCGUGUGCCGGUCCACGGGCGUUGUAUCACCCUCGUCCUGGGAUGGCGCUCGACUCGAAGGCCCCUCCUCGACCUGCCUAUGGAGCGGCGGUCAAAGGCGCUUUGCCACUUUGUG
rnacentral:misc_RNA from 1 species